rnacentral:rRNA from 1 species
GUACACGCUGUGACUAGCAUAUCAAUAAGCGGAGGAAAAGAAACUAACAAGGAUUCCCCUAGUAACGGCGAGGUGAAGCGGGAAGAGCUCAAAUUUGAAAUCUUAAAGAGUUUCCCUUUACGAAUUGUAGUUUAAAGAAGUGUUUUCUGUUGAGGUUUUGGUAAAAGUUCUUUGGAAUAGGACAUCAUAGAGGGUGAGAAUCCCGUAUUUGACCUUUACUUUCAACUUUGUGAUACACUUUCAAAGAGUCGGAUUGUUUGGGAAUGCAGUCCAAAAUGGGUGGUAAAUUUCAUCUAAAGCUAAAUAUUGGCGAGAGGCCGAUAGCGAACAAGUACCGUGAGGGAAAGAUGAAAAGAACUUUGAAAAGAGAGUUAAACAGUACGUGAAAUUGUCAAAAGGGAAGCGUUUGACACCAGUGUUGUUUUUCUGAAAAUCAAUUAAAGAACUGUUUAUGCUAAGCUGUUUAGACUUUAUCAGCUAUCUGUUUAGUUUUGAGCUUUUCUUUAAUGCACUUUUCAGUUAACAAGUCAACAUCAAUUUCUUUUGCUGUAAAAAAGCUUGAGGAAGGCGGCUUGAGAUUCGUCUUAAGUGUUUAUAGCCUCUUGCCUAUGCAGUCGGAGAGAUUGAGGUCUGCAGCGUAGAUCCUUCGGGGCUAAAUGCAUUUGUGCUAAGUUAUAGCAUUUUAUAGACAACUUGUUGACUAUGAUUUGUCUUGUAGCUUACUCGCUUAUGUUAUUUUACCUACGCUUAGGAUGUUGAUAUGCAUGACUGAUAU